UCCCCAGCCCUCAUUAACAGUAAGGGGCCAGUCAGUAAUACAGGUACCUUCCCCAGCCCUCAUUAACACUAAGGGGCCAGUCAGUAAUACAGGUACCUUCCCCAGCCCUCAUUAACACUAAGGGGCCAGUCAGUAAUACAGGUACCUUCCCCAGCCCUCAUUAACACUAAGGGGCCAGUCAGUAAUACAGGUACCUUCCCCAGCCCUCAUUAACACUAAGGGGCCAGUCAGUAAUACAGGUACCUUCCCCAGCCCUCAUUAACACUAAGGGGCCAGUCAGUAAUACAGGUACCUUCCCCAGCCCUCAUUAACACUAAGGGGCCAGUCAGUAAUACAGGUACCUUCCCCAGCCCUCAUUAACACUAAGGGGCCAGUCAGUAAUACAGGUACCUUCCCCAGCCCUCAUUAACACUAAGGGGCCAGUCAGUAAUACAGGUACCUUCCCCAGCCCUCAUUAACACUAAGGGGCCAGUCAGUAAUACAGGUACCUUCCCCAGCCCUCAUUAACACUAAGGGGCCAGUCAGUAAUACAGGUACCUUCCCCAGCCCUCAUUAACACUAAGGGGCCAGUCAGUAAUACAGGUACCUUCCUCAUUAACACUAAAGGGACAGCUGUUUUUAAACUGUAACAAUUAGCACGUCGGGUACACACUCCGCAGCUGAACCAUGUAGUGGGUGACAAUCAAACCAACUGACAUAACGGCUAGUUAACAUCUACGUU